rnacentral:rRNA from 1 species
AUGAACGCUAGCUACAGGCUUAACACAUGCAAGUCGAGGGGCAGCAUGAACUUAGCUUGCUAAGUUUGAUGGCGACCGGCGCACGGGUGAGUAACACGUAUCCAACCUGCCGAUGACUCGGGGAUAGCCUUUCGAAAGAAAGAUUAAUACCCGAUGGCAUAGUUCUUCCGCAUGGUGGAACUAUUAAAGGAUUUCGGUCAUCGAUGGGGAUGCGUUCCAUUAGGUUGUUGGCGGGGUAACGGCCCACCAAGCCUUCGAUGGAUAGGGGUUCUGAGAGGAAGGUCCCCCACAUUGGAACUGAGACACGGUCCAAACUCCUACGGGAGGCAGCAGUGAGGAAUAUUGGUCAAUGGACGAGAGUCUGAACCAGCCAAGUAGCGUGAAGGAUGACUGCCCUAUGGGUUGUAAACUUCUUUUAUACGGGAAUAAAGUGAGGCACGUGUGCCUUUUUGUAUGUACCGUAUGAAUAAGGAUCGGCUAACUCCGUGCCAGCAGCCGCGGUAAUACGGAGGAUCCGAGCGUUAUCCGGAUUUAUUGGGUUUAAAGGGAGCGUAGGCGGACGCUUAAGUCAGUUGUGAAAGUUUGCGGCUCAACCGUAAAAUUGCAGUUGAUACUGGGUGUCUUGAGUACAGUAGAGGCAGGCGGAAUUCGUGGUGUAGCGGUGAAAUGCUUAGAUAUCACGAAGAACUCCGAUUGCGAAGGCAGCCUGCUGGACUGUAACUGACGCUGAUGCUCGAAAGUGUGGGUAUCAAACAGGAUUAGAUACCCUGGUAGUCCACACAGUAAACGAUGAAUACUCGCUGUUUGCGAUAUACAGUAAGCGGCCAAGCGAAAGCGUUAAGUAUUCCACCUAGGGAGUACGCCGGCAACGGUGAAACUCAAAGGAAUUGACGGGGGCCCGCACAAGCAGUGGAGUAUGUGGUUUAAUUCGAAGCAACGCGAAGAACCUUACCAAGUCUUGACAUCGUAGCGACCGGAACUUAACCGUUCCUUCCCUUCGGGGCGCUAUAGACAGGUGGUGCAUGGUUGUCGUCAGCUCGUGUCGUGAGAUGUUGGGUUAAGUCCCGCAACGAGCGCAACCCCUGUUCUUAGUUGCCAGCAUGUAAAGAUGGGAACUCUAAGAAGACUGCCGUAGACAAUACGGAGGAAGGUGGGGAUGACGUCAAAUCAGCACGGCCCUUACGUCCGGGGCUACACACGUGUUACAAUGGGGGGUACAGAAGGCAGCUACACGGCGACGUGAUGCUAAUCCCGAAAGCCUCUCUCAGUUCGGAUUGGAGUCUGCAACCCGACUCCAUGAAGCUGGAUUCGCUAGUAAUCGCGCAUCAGCCACGGCGCGGUGAAUACGUUCCCGGGCCUUGUACACACCGCCCGUCACACCAUGAGAGUUGGGGAUACCCGAAGCCUGUGAGCCAACAGUAAUGAGGCAGCAGUCGAAGGUAGAAUCAAUGAUUGGGGUG